UUUUUGGAGAGUUUGAUUCUGGCUCAGAACGAACGCUGGCGGCGUGGAUAAGACAUGCAAGUCGAACGGGACACCAUGAGUAGCAAUACAAGUGGUGUCUAGUGGCGAACGGGUGCGUAACACGUGGAUACAUUCCGGGAAGCGGGGGAUAGCCCAGGGAAACUUGGAUUAAUACCGCAUGUGGUCGAAAGACUAAAGGCAGGGACCGCAAGGCCUGCCACUUCCCGAUUGGUCCGCGGCCUAUCAGCUAGUUGGCGGGGUAAAAGCCCACCAAGGCUACGACGGGUAGCUGGUCUUAGAGGACGACCAGCCACACUGGAACUGAGACACGGUCCAGACACCUACGGGUGGCAGCAGUCGAGAAUCUUUCACAAUGGGGGCAACCCUGAUGGAGCGACGCCGCGUGGAGGAUAAGGUCUUCGGAUUGUAAACUCCUGUCAUGUGUGAACAAGGUUGUCUUGUUAAUAGCGAGGCAAAUUGAUGGUAACACAAGAGGAAGAGACGGCUAACUCUGUGCCAGCAGCCGCGGUAAUACAGAGGUCUCAAGCGUUGUUCGGAAUCACUGGGCGUAAAGGGUGCGUAGGUGGCGUGGAAAGUCAGAUGUGAAAGCCCGGGGCUCAACCUCGGAAUUGCAUCCGAUACUACCAUGCUAGAGUACUGAAGAGGUGACUAGAAUUCUCGGUGUAGCAGUGAAAUGCGUAGAUAUCGAGAGGAAUACCAACGGCGAAGGCAGGUCACUGGGCAGUUACUGACACUGAGGCACGAAGGCCAGGGGAGCAAACGGGAUUAGAUACCCCGGUAGUCCUGGCAGUAAACGGUGCACGUUUGGUGUGGGCGCAAUCGACCGCGUCCGCGCCGGAGCUAACGCGUUAAACGUGCCGCCUGGGAAGUACGGUCGCAAGAUUAAAACUCAAAGAAAUUGACGGGGACCCGCACAAGCGGUGGAGUAUGUGGCUUAAUUCGAUGCAACGCGAAGAACCUUACCUGGUCUUGACAUGCAUUGUGUCUCCGGUGAAAGCCGGAUAGGGUAGCAAUACCCGCUUUGCACAGGUGCUGCAUGGCUGUCGUCAGCUCGUGUCGUGAGAUGUUGGGUUAAGUCCCGCAACGAGCGCAACCCCUGUGAUUUGUUGCCACCGGCUUAUGCCGAGCACUCGAAUCAGACUGCCUCGAUCAACGAGGAGGAAGGUGGGGAUGACGUCAAGUCCGUAUGGCCCUUACGACCAGGGCUGCACACGUACUACAAUGCCCAGUACAAUGUGAACCGAGACCGCGAGGUGGAGGAAAUCAAUAAAACUGGGCUCAGUUCAGAUUGGAGUCUGCAACUCGACUCCAUGAAGCUGGAAUCGCUAGUAAUGGUACAUCAGCUACGGUACCGUGAAUACGUUCCCGGGUCUUGUACACACCGCCCGUCACAUCAUGGAAGCUGGUUUCGCCCGAAGUGCAUGCGCCAACCGCAAGGAGGCAGUGCCCUAAGGCAAGACUGGUGACUGGGAUGAAGUCGUAACAAGGUAGCCGUAGGGGAACCUGCGGCUGGAUCACCUCCUUUCUAUGGAGAAUGUCCG
rnacentral:rRNA from 1 species